GCUUUCAUGGUUCAGUGGUAGAGUUCUUAUCUUCCAUGUGAGCAACCUGGGUUCGAUUCCCAGGCA
rnacentral:tRNA from 1 species